UAAUACGUAGGGCGCAAGCGUUAUCCGGAAUUAUUGGGCGUAAAGAGCUCGUAGGCGGUUUGUCGCGUCUGCCGUGAAAGUCCGGGGCUCAACCCCGGAUCUGCGGUGGGUACGGGCAGACUUGAGUGCAGUAGGGGAGACUGGAAUUCCUGGUGUAGCGGUGAAAUGCGCAGAUAUCAGGAGGAACACCGAUGGCGAAGGCAGGUCUCUGGGCUGUAACUGACGCUGAGGAGCGAAAGCAUGGGGAGCGAACAG
rnacentral:rRNA from 1 species